GAACGCUGGCGGCGUGCCUAAUACAUGCAAGUCGAGCGAACGGACGAGAAGCUUGCUUCUCUGAUGUUAGCGGCGGACGGGUGAGUAACACGUGGAUAACCUACCUAUAAGACUGGGAUAACUUCGGGAAACCGGAGCUAAUACCGGAUAAUAUUUUGAACCGCAUGGUUCAAAAGUGAAAGACGGUCUUGCUGUCACUUAUAGAUGGAUCCGCGCUGCAUUAGCUAGUUGGUAAGGUAACGGCUUACCAAGGCAACGAUGCAUAGCCGACCUGAGAGGGUGAUCGGCCACACUGGAACUGAGACACGGUCCAGACUCCUACGGGAGGCAGCAGUAGGGAAUCUUCCGCAAUGGGCGAAAGCCUGACGGAGCAACGCCGCGUGAGUGAUGAAGGUCUUCGGAUCGUAAAACUCUGUUAUUAGGGAAGAACAUAUGUGUAAGUAACUGUGCACAUCUUGACGGUACCUAAUCAGAAAGCCACGGCUAGCUACGUG
rnacentral:rRNA from 1 species